rnacentral:rRNA from 1 species
AUUGAACGCUGGCGGCAUGCCUUACACAUGCAAGUCGAACGGUAACGCGGGGCAACCUGGCGACGAGUGGCGAACGGGUGAGUAAUGCAUCGGAACGUGCCCAGUAGUGGGGGAUAGCCCGGCGAAAGCCGGAUUAAUACCGCAUACGACCUACGGGUGAAAGCGGGGGACCGCAAGGCCUCGCGCUAUUGGAGCGGCCGAUGUCAGAUUAGGUAGUUGGUGAGGUAAAGGCUCACCAAGCCAACGAUCUGUAGCUGGUCUGAGAGGACGACCAGCCACACUGGGACUGAGACACGGCCCAGACUCCUACGGGAGGCAGCAGUGGGGAAUUUUGGACAAUGGGCGCAAGCCUGAUCCAGCCAUGCCGCGUGCGGGAAGAAGGCCUUCGGGUUGUAAACCGCUUUUGUCAGGGAAGAAAAGCUCCGGGCUAAUACCUUGGGGUAAUGACGGUACCUGAAGAAUAAGCACCGGCUAACUACGUGCCAGCCGCCGCGGUAACAC